rnacentral:rRNA from 1 species
CCUACGGGCGGCAGCAGUGAGGAAUAUUGGUCAAUGGGCGAGAGCCUGAACCAGCCAAGUCGCGUGAGGGAGUACUGCCCUAUGGGUUGUAAACCUCUUUUGUCGGGGAGCAAAAGCCGGACGUGUCCGGCUGUGAGAGUACCCGAAGAAAAAGCAUCGGCUAACUCCGUGCCAGCAACCGCGGUAAGACGGAGGAGGCGGGCGUUAUCCGGGUUUAGUGGGUUUAAAGGGUGCGCAGGCGGAUUUUUAAGUCAGCGGUAAAAUCGUGGGGCUCAACCCCAUCCAGCCGUGGAAACUGGGGAUCUAGAGUGUGCGAGAGGUAGGCGGAAUGCGUGGUGUAGCGGUGAAAUGCAUAGAUAUCACGCAGAACCCCGAUUGCGAAGGCAGCAUACCGGUGCACAACUGACGCUCAGGCACGAAAGCGUGGGUAUCGAACAGGAUUAGAUACCCGGGUAGUC